UUUUUAAGUGGUAUAGCAGUGGUGCAUAAAACAGGGCUUUAAGUAGGACUAUAUGAGACACCUGCUAUAGACAGUUAGGUGGUCUGGACUAUGAUGUCAUCAGUAUGCAGAUGAGAUGAACUUCUGUCUCUCCUUUCCCUCACAUACACAUGGUGUGACGUCUCUGGUCUCCCAGUGCCUUUCCAGAGGUGAGGCUAGUUAUGGAAAGCAGUGAGAGUUUGGGAAAUGGUGUGUGUGUCAUUUAUCAAGGAGGUUCUCAAGUAUGCAUGACACAGUAGUGGGCAGUGAUAUUAAACUGUGGCUCAGACUUCCAGGGCUCUGUGUGCGCUUUCCUGCUGCUUGAUAAAACUGACAGAGGCACAGUGAGAAAUGAAAGCCACUUUUGAAUCAGAUGCAUAAAAAGUCCUAUGGACAACAAUAUAAGCCAAAGAAGUUCAGUGCUGAUGAACUGUUCAGGCUGCCAUUUUGUCUUCCUGCUCCUGGCCAGGCAGCUCCUUUGCAGAACUAGGUUCUCCACCCCAUGGAGCAGCCUACUCCCCUCUUCAAGGGUCUGGGUCCCCACAGUGGUCCUCUCCACCCUAGCAAGGGUCUGGCACCUCUGCAGGCAACAUCCAGAAUCAAAAUGGCAUCCUCUGUGCAGCAUGACCUCGCAGCUACAAGGACACGAUUAUCGUUUUAAAGAGCAGGAUGGUGUCCUCAGCACAGCAUGAUCAUGGCAGACACACGCCCAGUGCCUGGACCACAAGAAAAUCCAGCAGGA